rnacentral:lncRNA from 1 species
AUAGUCAUUUUUUACUGUGCUUCUAUAGUUAUUUAACAAUAUAAAUUACAGUUUAUUUAAACUAUAUUAAAAUUCCCAUAAUCGUAAUAUUGAUCCAUAUAAUCUAAGAUAUGGUUGCUAUAACUAAAUUGGAGAUUUUAAUAUAGCAAGUAGUACCAUAAAACAAUCAUUAUAAGCAUCCAUUGUAAGUAUAUGGUUUUUAUUACCAAUAUAAUAAUAAUAAUUACAAUAAAAAUAUUAUUCUCGACUGUAAUUACUUUACUAUGCAAUUAUAGUCGCAAAUAUCAUACAUUUUUUCUCAAUGUAUGUAGUAAUAUAUCAACGGGAGAGAUGAAUGAAAAAAAAAAACCAUUUGAAUAUACGCAUGUCAAUAAACCAUUGAGUAUCGAAAGACGAGAAAUUCCAUUUCAAUCCUUUUUCCUUCUUUGUUCGCAACUAACGAGAGUUCGAUGAGAAGGAGGGAAAGGAAUUUAUUCCUGGCUGCUGAAACAGCCACUUAAAAUCACCAAUUUGCCGAUAGCCAAAGGGCGACACUUAAGUAUAAUUCGUGGGGGGUCAUCUUUCACUGUAACCUACCGACAACAGGCAACCCGCGAGAAAGGCGAGGGUAAAUAUUAGCAAAGAGGAGGGCGGGGCUUGCUUGUGGAGGGCGAUUUAAUAGCGAGGCCUGCUAUUUGAAUCGCAAAUUCCGGCACGCUUACGCGGGACGUGCGCGGGUAGAAAAUAAUUAAGGAUUUAUGGUUUUCGUAUAAAUUUGCCUAAUUCGCGUACGCUCGACGAUGCAGCGCGACGACUCGCGGUCGUCGUUCUUCUUCAUCGCGACGAAACUCGCACCCGCGAUAGAUAAUAUACCGUAUGCGCUUUACGUAGUUGAUGUGUGUGUGUGUGUGUGUCGCGCGCGAGAUUAUCCCGACGUCGCUAUAACAUUUAUCGCGAAUACGCGUCAUAUACAGAUUCCAGACACUCUGUAAAAAAGUCGCCGGAUUAGCGAAACGCCACGUUUCGCGAUAACGCACACGGCGGGCUUAGCGGAGCUUCAGCAACACGGUAAUUUUCGAUUUCAGAUAUAAUCGACUGAAAAAACUUUUAUAUUCGAGGGACUAAUAAAAAUAUUUAGAAAACUUUUAAAAUUAAGUGGGAAAUAUAAUAAAAAGUAAUUUAAGUGACACGCAUUCAAUACUCUUCCCUAAUAUAAAUAUUCCCAAAGAUAAAUCAUUAAUUUUUCUUGCAAAUACAUUGUUUAUGACUUGCCGAGUAAAUUUAAUAUUAAUUUUUUCUUUAGAACAAACGAAAUAACGGAUGUAUUCUAAAAAAAAAUACUCUCAAAAGUUGUGUUUAAGAUUCUUCUUACUCGACAAAAGUGCAUCCAUUUUAAGUAAUUUUAUAAAAUAGUUUGUUAUUCUUACACUUAUCUAGUUACACUGGUGAUAAAGCGUCGAUCGCAUCUGACAGAGCGAGUAAGUGACGCGAUACUUUGUAACUUCCGACGUGCCGGAAGUCAUCAAGCUACCGUACGGAAAUAAGACAUUAUCGAUCGAGUGUAUAAAGCUUGUGGUCUUUAUAGGCUAGCGUAAUAUAUCAUGAUAUAACGGGCAGAAGUAGUUGAAGAAGGCAGGGAUACAUCGAUCAUCGUGAUAGAACAAAUGUCAAAUAGAAACAAUCGCGGCGGAAUAGAAACGAGAUGUACAGAAACAGAAGGAAAUAAUUCAAAUGCAGAUUAAAAUAUAUUAAUUUCAAAACGCGAUGAAAAUUCGUCACAUCUCUAAUUAGUAUUUAAAAAAUAUAUAUAUACAUAUAUAUUAAACGUUCACGACAAAAUGUUCUAAUGUCAUCGUAUAGUAAAUUAAUCCUUCUUGAACUAAAAGCUUCAAGAUGAAAUAACGUAACGAAGGCAAGGAGGCAAAGAGGUUUCGCGAUUUUAGAACAGCGAGAACUUUGCCGCGCGGUCGUUACAUCACGAGAGAUCCGGGUCGUGUUAGCCCGUACGAAGCCGAGCCUCUCUCUCAGCUAUUAUUCCGCGGUUUCUCGUCGUCUUCUUUUCUCCUUUCACGCGCGUCCCAUGCACCUCGUUUCAAAUCUUCUUCCCCGACGACAGCCCGCCCUGCGUCCCUAUGUUCUCCGCCCUUCUUCCUUUUACAGCUGUUCAGCCUCGGCGUCUAGCAUGCGACCUGUUUGUGAUACACACGGGACUAACAGAAUGUUUACAAGCCAAGGAGGUAAUAGAAAACAUCCUCGCGUCGUAUGUGCCGAUAUGACCCAACGGAAUUGUAGAUGAGGUGCAUCGCUCCUCCUUAUGCAUUUCAUUUCCGCGCCCAGCGCUCGACACAGCGCGUGGGAAAGUAGAGAGACACAGUGGAGGCGAGAAGAAAAAAAUUGACAAUGUUCUUAACAUUAUUUCGCCGGCAGGCGAAAUUUUGUUGCAGGAAGCGCGACGCAUUAUUUUCGCAAGGGUGGACAAAAAUCCGUUUUUCACGUUCGUAAUAAAAGCUCGCCGGGGGAAAAAUGGUUUGUGCGGCUUAUGAAAUUAUUUCGUUACAUCCGCAUCUUUUUUCGUAUCUUACGCAAGUCACGUAAUUACGUCAAGAGAGAGAGAGUCACGUAGUAAUUUAAGGAAUAUAUGGUAAAUAAAAUGUACACACUGGAGUUAAGUACAGUGGUAUAAGUAUGCAGAGAACGCAGAGAUAGCUGUUGGUUAGCGGCGCCAUAAUAUUCGUGUUUAUCGUGUGAAUUUCACAGCUCCUUAACAAAUUCUCCGGGCGCUCUUAGCUCCACUAGCAUUUUUCCCGCUUCGUCUAUCCAUUAACGACGGUUCUAAUUUUCGCAGGAAGGCGAACUACGACGCCUCCCCCCUGGCCUCGCGCAAUCUACCAUCCCGAGAUCCUCGCGAGAGAAAGCGAGAGAGCAGGAACAGAUACAAAACGACGGAGAAAUGGAAAACGCAGCGGGGGAAGACGUAGAAAAAUAGAAGAGCGCCGGAUACGGGAGGAUCAACGGUAUUUUCAAUAGUGUAAACCUUGAUUGAGAGAGAAAGAGGGAGAGAGAGAGAGAGAGAGAGAGAGAGAGAGAGAGAGAGAGAGAGAGAGAGAGCAGAUUAAAGAAGCCGAACGAAUGGACCAAAAGAGAUAAGGUGAGUGCCGGUUGCACAAAGGAAACUGUCAAUGCCGCAUUCGAGUCGCGCGAGGAUGCGCGUUUCAAACGUAACGAUGCAAGAGAAACGAUCAUUCCCAAUAGGAACAUAAAUUUCAGGGGCACUUGCGCUCAUACCGGCUAGAUUCAAGAACGGUGUACAGCUCUGCGAUGAAGCAUCCAUCGUCUGAACUCCGCACGCGGACAGACAGAAUUAUCAACCCCCGAAGGGUCGUAAUUCCCGUAACUGCCUCGUAGGAUGUAUCGCCCAGCGAGAGAUAUAUAUGCCUGAUACGCUAUAUGUACGGUCGGGAUACGUACGCACUGCCCAACCCGGGCAGCACCCCAUUAUAAUCGCCGUCGCUUCUUUCGCUGAUUAAGCCCUCCUAAUCCGACUGAUAAGUAUCGACCAAUCGUAAGUGAGAUUUGCGUAAUUUUCACUGACAGCGGAACGCAACGUAUCGAGGAUAAACCAGGCGCAGGAUACAGGAUUGCUUUCGAGCGUAGACAAAGAGACAUCUUGAUAAACUCUAUCACCUCUCGAGACAACGCCGUAUCUGUUUUUCGUCUCCGCGGGACGCUGGCGCGGGAGAGAAAAAUGCUUCGGGAUAAAAUAAAAGUCGUACUCGGUGGAGAAGGGUAGCAGCGGCUUGACAGCGCUCACGAGGGAUGCUCGAUUUAACCUUGCUACAGUAAGGAAGAGGAAUCGAUGGCUCGCACACAUUCAGAGGAUAAAUCCUCGAUAACCAAAAAGACAACCUCCGCUUGAGGCAAGAGAAAAACGAAAAUACGCUCACGCCCUUGGCAAUUUAACUCUUAUUUCCAUUGUAGCGCACGUGAUUGUGAUAAGAUCAGCAUUUAAAAGAACAACGCGUUCCGGAUGUUUAUCACCUAGAAGAUGAUCGGUGUCCCAUUAAAUGUAGUUGAAACCGUGAUUAUUUUACGAUUAUUUGUAUUUCCCCGAUAAGCUGGACAUCGACAGUUAAGGAAAACGUUGUAAUAAUUGUGAUCCCGAAAAAAUGUUUCGCUUAGGAGUCGUUCAUUUUUUUUUUUUUUUUCCAAUCCGUAUGGAUUACACUUACAAAUCUCCGCAGCAAGCGGAAGCGUGCAAGAAUCGCGAAAGCCAUAGGAAGAAAUAUAGAAAGAUCAAGUUGGAAUAAUAUAUAUAGACUGUUUCAUCUCGGAGAGGAUAAAUCCUCCGAAAAGGGUUUUCUGUUCUCCAACCAGGCACGCGCAUUUUUCGUACGAAUCACUCAGAAGCGCAUAUAUAUGUUAACGGAUAAAACUGAGCGCGGAACAAACACCUUACAAGUGCACAAUUUUGUCAGAAUAAACCCUUGUUUGAGUCACGUUUCGGGUCAGGUCACUUCCAUCAGGUAAUCUAACAUGUAAGUAACGUUUUCAAAAGUGCUGAGAGCAACUCGAUCUGCUUACCAAAAAGCCCUUUCAGUAAAUACGACAGUGAAUAUGGUUGUAGACACGAUAUUUUGCUAUUGUAAUUAAAUUAUAUAUUAUAAUUUAUAAAUAUAAUUCCAACAGUCGUAAUAGUUAUAAUUCAUUUUAGUUAAAUUCUGUCUUAAUAGAAUUUUUAUUUUGAAAACUUUAUCGCUAAAGAAUGUUUUACCAUGAUGGUUGUAUCAUCAGUUACGGUACACUCUGCACAACAUAAUCUGAAAAAAGGUUAUGGAACAUCUUACAUAACGUAACCGGGAAGAUGACUCCACAAAAAAAUAAGUCAAAAAUGUUGAAAAAAAAUUACGUAUAAUGCAUUACUUUCGAGAUAAUCAAAUUAAAAAAUUGACAUAUUUUUAACACAAAAUAUAACGUACAAUUUCGUUUUUUGAUAAUCGUACUUUAAUAUCAUUAUUUAUACAUAGACUAAUAAGAUGGAUCAUGUGGUGUAAAUACAGUUGUUCAAAAAAAAAUUAUAUUUAACAUACUUUUUGUAAAGGCAAUUAUGUAUUUACAUAAUUUUUUAUAGCAAUUGAUUUAUCUCGUUAUUAUUUGCAUAAAGGUAUUAAAGUACGGUUAACUAAAAAUAAAUAGUUUACGAGAUAUUUCAGAUUUCAUGUCAAAAUAUACCAAUUUUCAAAUUCGAUUAUCUCGGGAAUAAUAAAAAAGAUUAUUCUCUCUCUAUGUAUUUGACUUACAAUAGAGUCACUGCACCAAUAAACAAA